GACCCUCAUGGGAAAGAGCUUCGCGUCGCUCAGGGCGGCGCGCGAUCAUCUGCGGGUCCUCAUGCGCGCGACGCGCGUGUCGGUCUC
rnacentral:tRNA from 1 species